rnacentral:rRNA from 1 species
AAACCAAGAAAUUUAGUCAUUCUUUUACGGUAAAAAGACGGUUAGACAAAUAGUUAAAUUAUUGGAUCUUUAGUAAAGGAGUAAAAUCUAAAUACUAGAAGUUAUACCAGAUAUAGUUUAUUUAAGAUGUUGAAUCUGUGACAGCUUUAAGGGAAACUGGGAUUGGAUACCCCAUUAUUUUUAGUUAUAAAUUUAGUUUAAGCUUACCAGAGUACUACGAAUAAAAAGUUUAAAACUCAAAGGGCUUGGCGGUGUUUUAGACCUCUCAGGGGAACCUGUCUCAUAAUCGACAAUCCACGUUAAACCUAACCUUUUGUAGUAAUACAGUUUGUAUACCGUCGUCGUCAGGUAACUUCUUAAAAUAUAGUAGUUAGCUUGAGAAUUUUAUUAAUUAAAACGUCAGAUCAAGGUGCAGCUAAUGAAAAGGUGAGGAUGGGUUACAAUUACAUAUUUGUAAACACGGAAAAAUGCUUGAAAUGGAGUAUUUUAAAGGAGGACUUGAAAGUAAUUUUGAUUAUAUAAGUGGAAUGAAUAAGGCUCUGAAACGUG